rnacentral:rRNA from 2 species
UGAGGAAUAUUGGGCAAUGCCCGCAAGGGUGACCCAGCAACGCCGCGUGGAGGAUGAAUGCCGUAAGGUUGUAAACUCCUGUUAGAGGGGAAGAAUAAUUCCGAUUGCAUCGGAACUUGACUGUACCCUCAGAGAAAGCCCCGGCUAACUACGUGCCAGCAGCCGCGGUAAUACGUAGGGGGCAAGCGUUGUCCGGAUUUACUGGGUGUAAAGGGCGCGCAGGUGGGCUUGAUAGUUAGAGGUGAAAUCCUGUGGCUUAACUGCAGAACUGCCUUUAAUACUUCAAGUCUUGAGUGCGGAAGAGAGAGACGGAAUUCCAGGUGUAGUAGUGAAAUACGUAGAUAUCUGGAAGAACACCAGUUGCGAAGGCGGUCUCUUGGUCCGUAACUGACACUUAGGCGCGAAAGCGUGGGGAGCAAACAGG